UACGUAGGGGGCAAGCGUUGUCCGGAAUCAUUGGGCGUAAAGCGCGCGUAGGCGGCCCGGUAAGUCCGUUGUGAAAGUCAAAGGCUCAACCUUUGAACGCCGAUGGAUACUGCCGGGCUAGAGUCCGGAAGAGGCGAGUGGAAUUCCUGGUGUAGCGGUGGAAUGCGCAGAUAUCAGGAGGAACACCGGUGGUGUAGACGGCUUACUGGACCAUAACUGACGCUGAGACACGAAAGCGUGGGUAGCAAACAGG
rnacentral:rRNA from 1 species